CUCCACGUUAUUUGCCGCCGCCGCCCCCGCCCUGCCCCGCCCCCGCUGCAGCCCGCCGUCGCCCCACCCUCGCUCGCCGCUGCGGAUCCACCACCGCCCCUCUACAGCCCGACGUCCCGUCCCCGUGUCACACCACGAGCCUCUUGCCGGCGGGCUGGGCCCUCCUCGCGCUGGUACUUGCUCUGGGAAGAGCAGGAGGGGUGCUGGAGCAGUGGUCGUGGCGUCCCCGGGUGCCUGCCGCCCUCCCCGGGCACAAGGUCGCCGUUAGCCCCCCGACCCCCCAGCGCACAAGGUUGUUAGAUGGAAGGACAAGGCGGCGGCGAUGGAGACGGGGAGUCGAUUAGGAAGGAGAAAGAGUUUGUGCAACUGCUGCUCAGUGCGAAAAACAGAGGAGGACGUCAAAGUGUGGGAGGUUGCAGUCUUGCAGGAGAUUAGCCUUACCUUGGCAAAGUAGCUUGCGGUCCUGAAGCUGAAAGACAGAUCCUAAAGUUGGCUUCACUUGGUAGUAACUAUGGAAACCUCAAGAAUGUUGUUGACGCCCUGAAGGCUUUUGAGUUGUAUUGUCAGGUCUGUCUAUGCAAAUUGAAAUUUACUUGAGAGUGAAUCUCUAAUGUUGUACCUUUUGCAAAAUACUACCAGCUAAAUAUGAUAAGGUUUUCUUCUUCCCAAUGUGAUGAGGCAUGAGGCAAAACCUCUUCAUAUAGAACAGGCUGCGUGCCUUGAUAGGGUUGAAAGCACUGAAGUAGUGUUACAUUGCUGUACUGUUUUUGAAACUUCAAGUCCCGCUGUUACUUAAAACCAACAAAGAACAGUUAUCAUUUUUCCUUGACACUGUAAGCUUGAUAGAAUACGCUGUACAUGCAACUACAUGUUGUCUCAUUACUUUAGUCUACUUUUCUUAAAAAGUGUGAUGAUUGUCGCUAACAAUGUUGGAAAGAUUCCAACAGAAAAUAAAUUUCUUUGUAGUGAACCCUCUAAUCAAAAAGAAAAGAGAAUCAUUUAUUCAUCAUUGACUAAAUCUAUUUAAGAGUUAAUCUUUGUUGAUAAUCUUCAGUGUAAACUCUAUUAUUUUUUGCUUCAUUGCCAGGAUUUAUGCACUUUUCCCAUGGCAUAAUAUAAGAAUCAAAAUCAAUUUAUUGGAUCACAAUCAUAUCUAGGAGUAUUUGCACCACUUUAAGUGAUCUUGUAUAGUUGGAAUGUUACAUUUCACUUUAAUUGCUUUCCUGAACGUACGGACUAAGAAAAUUUCAGUUUCUCCUGUCAUCAAUAAAUGUUAUAAGAUUUAGAUUAUUGAAUUCAGUAAAAGUUCAAAACAUAUGAGAGCACUAACCAUGUUUCGGCUCCUUGACUGAGGACGUACGAACUUGCAAAAAGCACAAGCGUAGAAGCGAAAGAAGGAGCGAGAGGAUUAAGCUUCCAAGUGCGGCAACUAGGAACAUCUCGAUCGGUGAUUUGAAGUGUGUUUUUCAAUAGCAUGGUGCAUGGAUACUUGCACGUAUUCCCCCGAUGCAACGGACACUAUUUAAUUGUCAUAGAACUACAUACAAGGCUCUCAUGCAAAAAAGGUUUUAUCAGGCAUGAAGGUGGCGUGGGCCAGCAAGGAGUCUGGGGGUUCAGCAGGACAUCCUUGCAGGAGUAGUCGAGCAGAGGCUGACACUGGCCAAUAUGACCAGCAUUGCCGCAGAUCGCCUCCAUGUGGGCUGCUGUUGCAAAGUCACGGUGCUGCACCUCAGCGAAUUCAGCAGGAGCAAUUCAUUCCCCACCCAAGUGUUUAUUAUUGAUCAUUGCUGCUUCAUCUGUUUAUUCUCAUCUAACUAAUAUAUUUACGAACUUUUUGUAUGUUUGGCUAAUUCUUCUUUAUCUUAUGGGGCUUUGCUGUGAAAGAAAGAUGAAGUUCAAAGAGUUCAAUUUAGAGUUAGUGUAGUUU